AACCAGCACCUCAAGUGGUCAGGAGGAUUAUUGGGCCUAAAGCAUCCGUAGCCGGCUCUGUAAGUUUUCGGUUAAAUCCAUGUGCUCAACGCAUGGGCUGUCGAAAAUACUGCAUAGCUAGGGAGUGGGAGAGGUAGACGGUACUCGGUAGGAAGGGGUAAAAUCCUUUGAUCUAUCGAUGACCACCUGUGGCGAAGGCGACUAACUGGGCCAUUUUUGACCCUGAGAUACGAAAGCGUGGGUAGCAAACAGG
rnacentral:rRNA from 1 species